rnacentral:lncRNA from 1 species
GAAAAAAUGCAGAAGAGGAAAACCUCCAUAUGUGAAGCUAUGGCAAGGGAGUCUCCCCACCCCGCGCUCCAACAGAGUCUGGAGAUAAACCUCUCCCGGACAGGAAGCUUACAUUUCCCUGCCACCUUGAAGUUAGGCAUGGUCACCUGAACUUCUUUGCCCAAUGAAAUGUGAAUGUAAUAAGAUGAUGUAUAUGACUGCUAGGUGAAUGCAUUUAAUCACUGGUGGUGUCCCUCCUCUCUAUGUCUGGGUUUCUUGUUAAUGGAAGCAUUACAAGUUGAUUUGGAAGUGCAAUGCUAAGCCAUCACUUAGAGGACAGUUGCUGUAGAGAAUCUUCCCACUUACCACCAAUUCACUGUGAGCGGGAAACAAAGCUUUGUUGUGUUAUGUCUUUAAAAUUUGG